GUGGGACCAGAGUGGGGAAACGUACUCCACGCGGACGUUAGUCUGUUACAACUGUGAUAUUUUACGAUUAAUGUUUUGUCCAUCAAAGAUUAGAAAUGUCGUAUCAUUUUGUAAUGCUUGGCGUUGGUGUAGCUGCUGCUUUGUAUUUCUAUUUUGUUAGACAUCGUCCUCAAGAGUAUUCUCAGCGCGGAAGUUGGAACUACAAUGAAAAAUAUCAUAGAAAUGACGAGGAAUGUCCAAUUUGUUAUGAGGUCAUGAAACCUGGUAAUUACAUUACCCUGAAUUCUUGUAAGCAUGUUUUCCAUAAAGUUUGUUUCGGCAACCUCAUCCAGCAAAGCGCCGAGGCGAAAUGUCCACUCUGCAGGCAACCGAUUUCUUGAAGGAAUGCUAUUUAUUAUUUGAGCAAUAAACAUAACGACUUAAAGAAUUUUGUAAUUUUAAAUAAUGUUUUGGAGAAUAUAAUUGAAAUACUUUAAUCAUCCUAUUAUUACAAGAAUAACAUGACAAGCAAUGGUAAAGUUUCAUGUAGUAUUAAGGACAAAUAAAGCAGUAACCUGUCAUAAAUUGUAAAUAUGUUUUUCAACACGUUUGAUAAGAUGCAGAGUAUUAUUUUGUUAAUAUAGCCAGACAAAUUAUUACCUAUGCUUGAUAUUUAUUGUGUAUAAUAACAUUCAUUGCCUUUCGGACUAUAAAUAUGUAGAUCAAAGUAGAUCAGAUACCAAAGAUUCCGCUUGGUAUACCAUGUAACGUCCAUGCCGAAGUAUCUCUUAAUAGUUAAGGAGCUUUAAGAAAACUAGGGUUAUCUAAUUGAAAUGAUGCCAAUGUCUGAAUCAUUUAUUUGUAAAUAAAGUUCAUAGGUAUCGUUAUUACAAUUAUAGUAAUAAUAACAAGUACUUGUUUCUGGUAAUUUGUCUUUUCGCCUGUCCUUUGUUCGUUGUAACAUGAAUUCAGAAUGCGUAAUAAAAUUGCAAAGAUAUUCUAUAGACACAAAGCAACCUGUCUCUUAUUUAUACAAGAAGGAAGAAGUAUUCCUGUCGCUUAACUAGCAAUCGUACAUAUGUCUGCAAAAUUGUUUUUCUUUAUUUCUUGAUCAUAAUUUAAUAACUGCAUACAGGAAUCCCUUAUCGUAUCUGAUAAAAUUUAAAUAGCUAGCACAGUUCACUGUUACAAAGGCACAAGUUUCUUUUCUCUUCCAAUAGCGGAAAUUUAUUCAAACGCUCCAGUUCUAUCGUCGAACAUACUCUGUUGUUAUUUACAAGAAACAGCAUUCUCCGACCGCUUUGAAAUGUUAGCAGUUAUAUGUGUUUAGUAAGUUGCAAUAAAUAUUUAUAUUUUUCUUCUCGUAUUGUUUUCUAAAAGUAAUCUUUAAUAAAGAAUUCGGAUUUAUCAUUUGGCCUAGGAUUUGGAGCCGAAUAAACUGUUUGUACAUACAUUUUUUGUAUCCACAGAUGCCGGAGAAUAAUUUUUUAAAUAAAACGUGUACAGAUUGGAGAACGCCGCAUCGAGCUCGACACGCGUACUGAAUUGUUGGAAUUAAAGACACCCGUGUUCGUAGCAUAUAAAUACAUAUUCUUACGUACGUUUCUCGAAUG